UACGUAGGGGGCAAGCGUUAUCCGGAUUUACUGGGUGUAAAGGGAGCGUAGACGGCCUUGCAAGUCUGGUGUGAAAGCCCGGGGCCCAACCCCGGGACUGCAUUGGAAACUGCAUGGCUGGAGUGCAGGAGAGGUAAGCGGAAUUCCUAGUGUAGCGGUGAAAUGCGUAGAUAUUAGGAGGAACACCAGUGGCGAAGGCGGCUUACUGGACUGUAACUGACGUUGAGGCUCGAAAGCGUGGGGAGCAAACAGG
rnacentral:rRNA from 1 species